CACAAGUACGGUUUGGUGUGCAUGGAAAGUAAGGUGUGUGGUCCUUUUUAAUUCGGGACUGAAAUGCACACUUUCAUGGUCUCUUUGCUAAGUCCAUAAGAAAGAACCAAUGAAUCAAUGAGAGGCAUGUUACUCGACGAUCUGGCCUUUUCUUCACGUUCAACAGCACAAAAAAGGACACACUGAAAGAGAGUGGUGGUUCUUUGGAAAGGAAGCAACGGGAACAAUUCCGAAAGAAGCGUUAUCACACAGGAAACAAAGCAUUGCCUCCAUCCGAUUGUUCACGGGGACUGACAACUUAUUCUGGUUUCCUUUCUCGCGCUAAAUUGUGACGCAAGUAAUUGUAGAUCGGUUAUUUUUUUUCCUAACUGCACAAACAGCGAGAAACCUUGAUAUCUCUUUCCUGUUACUGAAGUAGCAUCGACAACCCUCACAAGUGUUGAUGUUGAAGAAAGGUACAGACGGAAUUACAGUGUCUCUGACGCCGGGUCGCCUCCGUGACUAAAUGAGUCUAUACUGGAUUGGACUGGCACAUUUUCUUGCCAGCCUCGUGGAGGGACGCGUCUGCCGGCAACGACUCGGAAUGGAGGACGGUAGCAUUCCCGAUUCCAGAAUCACAGCCUCAAGUGUCUACCACAAUUAAAUCAACGCACCCGGCAACUGCAGGGCCGCAAACGGCCGGCUGAACAACCCAGGAGGCGGCGGGAUAGCUGACGGUUGGUGUCCGGCCCGGACUGACAAGUAUACGUCAUGGUUGGGGGUCGAUUUGGGAGAGCAACUGCAGGUGGAAGGGGUCAUCAUACAGGGCAGCGCAAUGCCUUUCUACAUUGGAUUGGACGAGUGACCCGAUUCAGAGUGCAGUACAGUGAUGACGGGAUUGAUUGGCUGUAUGUGACCCGUAGUGAAGAUCCUGGGAGUGUGCCGAAGACAUUUGAAGGCAGCGAAGACAUACCCACACCUGUUACCACCAUUUUUGACAGGCCGAUUCAAGCUCGUUACAUCCGCGUCAGACCAACCCAGUACUACACAUACCCAACGAUGCGGAUUGAGCUCAUCGGCUGCAGAGGCAAGGACGAUUCUUAUUCUGUAGAUUGUCUUUCAAUAACGUCAUACUAGAUCGCUUUUUGUCUGGGUUCUUACCGCUUCGUGGUAAAACGAAGUCCGUUCUAUAAAAUUUCAAGCAUUUCGAAGAGAUCAUUGAAUUGCUGAAUUUGGAGUAGGCCAAGUUUGUAGAUUGGGCUGGUGUUCAUGGCUGGUGUCUGACUUUCCACGUAGGCCUCUGUGGGACACAAAAUCACGGCCGACAAUAUAUUGGUCUAAUAGCAACUUGCCUGACGUGGUGUACCCCGCAGGGGGAGGGUGGCGUUGGAAGGCAAGUAAUGUUUGGAUUUAAUUUUUCCUGUUAUCUUUGAAUG